rnacentral:tRNA from 1 species
GGUUGUGGCUCAGAGGUAGAGAGCUUACCUAGCAUGUGUGAGGCCCUGGGUUCAAUUCUCAGCACCA